rnacentral:tRNA from 1 species
ACGCUGUUGGUGUAUUGGUAACAUUAGAGCUUCCCAUUACCUUUAAUGGCCGUCUUCAGGCGGAUAAUUGCUCUAGCACGGGGUUCGAUUCCCCGACAGCGUA